UACGUAGGGGGCAAGCGUUGUCCGGAUUUAUUGGGCGUAAAGAGCGUGUAGGCGGCUCGAUAAGUCUGCUGUGAAAGUCCAGGGCUCAACCCUGGAAGGCCGGUGGAAACUGUCGGGCUAGAGUCCGGAAGAGGCGAGUGGAAUUCCUGGUGUAGCGGUGAAAUGCGCAGAUAUCAGGAAGAACACCCGUGGCGAAAGCGGCUCUCUGGGACGGUACUGACGCUGAGACGCGAAAGCGUGGGGAGCGAACAGG
rnacentral:rRNA from 1 species